rnacentral:rRNA from 1 species
AAGAAAUAUUCAAAGCUAAGUAGUAAACGCCGCCUCGAAACUUAAAGAAUUUGGCGGUGCUUUAAUCUAAUUAGAGGAAUCUGUUUUAGAAUCGACAACACACGAAAAAUCUCACACAGAACCAGCUUGUAUACCGUCGUAGAAACAAUAUUUUCUAAUUAUUAUUAUUUCAGAAAAACAUCACCUACUACAGAUCAAGGUUCAGCGCAUAUCUGCGAAAAAAUGGAUUACAAUAUACUCAUAUACAACGAAUAACCUAUCGAAAAAUAGAUUUUGAAGGUGGAUUUAAAAGUAUAAAAAAAUUAAUAUGUUUUUUUGAAUUAGCCCUAAAGCAUGC